rnacentral:rRNA from 1 species
AUUGAACGCUGGCGGCAGGCCUAACACAUGCAAGUCGAACGAGUGGCGGACGGGUGAGUAAUGUCUGGGAAACUGCCUGAUGGAGGGGGAUAACUACUGGAAACGGUAGCUAAUACCGCAUACCAUCAGAUGUGCCCAGAUGGGAUUAGCUAGUUGGUGGGGUAACGGCUCAACAAGGCGACGAUCCCUAGCUGGUCUGAGAGGAUGACCAGGCACACUGGAACUGAGACACGGUUCAGACUCCUACCGGGGGGCGCAGGGGGGAAAUAUUGAACAUGGGGGGAAGGCUGAAUGCGCCAAGGCGGGGUUAUGAAGAAGGCCUUCGGGUUGUAAAGUACUUUCAGCGGGGAGGCGUUACCCGCAGAAGAAGCACCGGCUAACUCCGUGCCAGCAGCCGCGGUAAUUC